GGUGGAAGUUUGAUUCUUGCUUGAUACUUUUACGUUAUAGCUGGUAAAUACAUGUAAAUAAUUGUGUGGAGUGAAAAAUGAGUAAAUUUAUUAAAAAUAAGUUUAAUUAGAAAAGUAUAAAUCGUGUUAAGAAAAUUAAAAUCACAGUAUAAAAUAUUAAAUUAUGGGCGGUAGCUUGAUUUGGUAGUUAUAAGAAGUCUGACUAAGUUUUGUGCCAGCAGUCGCGGUUACACUUUAAGAUUAAGUAAAAGUAAUUUAGUUAACAGUUAAUUAAAAAUUUAUAAGUUAGUUUAGUUUAUUUUAAUAAAAGGUAAAAUUAGAUUGUUAAUUAGUAAAUUAAAUUAGUAUAUAAAAAAGAUGAAACUGUAGAUGCCAGGGUAUGAACUAGGAUUAGAUACCCUAUUACACCUGGGAGUAAAAUUUAAAUGCUUGAAUAUUAAUAGUUAUAUUCUUUAAAAUCAAAGAAUUUGGCGGUAUUUUAGUCUUGUUAGAGGAACUUGUUCUAUAAACGAUAAAACACGCAGAAUCUUACUUAUCUUGGUAAAUUUUACAGUUUGUAUACCGUCAUUAUUAAAUAAUCUUGAAAAAGUUAAUUAUUGGGAUUAAAAAAAUUAAAUAUAUUAGAUCAAGGUGCAGCUGAUAGAUAAGUAGAAAUGAGUUACAAUAAUACUUAUUUAUAACGGAUUGAAGAUAGAAUUAUUUUCAAAGAAGGUGGAUGUAAUUGUAAAAAAAGUUUAAUAAGCUUUUUUGGUAUAAGCUCUAAAUUAUGUACAUAUCGCCCGUCACUUUCAUUUAAAAUGAAAUAAGUCGUAACAUAGUAGGUGUACUGGAAAGUGUCCCUAGAAAU
rnacentral:ncRNA from 1 species